rnacentral:lncRNA from 1 species
ACCUGGCAAUCUCCCACCUGUAGAGCAUUAAUAUAGUGUAUAUAACAGCAGAUUUAUGACUUGUUCCAAAGACAAGCAUGAAACUAUAUCUUUUCCUUUUACUGAGAGGGCCUCUGCAUGAGAUGAACUAAUACAUUACUGUAGCCUAACAUACUUGUUAGUUAUUUUCCCUUCCUGAAUUAAAAAAUUGAAUUAUGUACACUCAGUCUAGUUACUGAACCUGUAAAGUUUAUUAAAGUUUAUCGACCAUGUGUAUACACUUCAGGAUUUAGGUUCAAUUGCUUCUUUCAAGCUGGAACAUUGAAUUAAGAUGCAGUGCCUUGCUGUGGCUCUCAUGGACUCCAACUGAGCUACAGCUUGGAUGCCCAGUUGAAGAGGAGUUCAUUCUGCCAUCCUGAAGUUGGCUUCUGCCUUGGGAAGACAGUCCUGGAAGACCACAGUGUGUGGCUGUAGACAGACAUUUUACAUAAUUUUCUUAUGUUUUGAGUCUGUUAUUAUGACUGCUAUCAUUUUUAACAGGAACUCGACCUAAAGUUCUAACUGCUGAGCAUCCAUUCCUUGCACAAAACUCUACUGUACUCCAUAACUGUCACUGCUGGAUAACUUUCCUUUUACAAGAGACAUCGGGGGAAGGAGUGUAUUAUAACAUCUCGGAGAUGCAGAGGAGAUAAGAUUCAAAAGACACAAAGGAUUACGGUUACACCUAUGCUAUAGUUCGCUGACUCCUCGGAUUACAUCAUACUGCAAGAAAAGGUCAUC